AUACGGAGGGACCAAGCGUUGUUCGGAAUCAUUGGGCGUAAAGCGCGUGUAGGCGGCUUGGCAAGUCUGGUGUGAAAGCCCGGGGCUCAACCCCGGAAUUGCAUUCGAAACUUCCAGGCUAGAGUCUCGGAGAGGAGGGCGGAAUUCCCGGUGUAGAGGUGAAAUUCGUAGAUAUCGGGAGGAACACCAGUGGCGAAGGCGGCCCUCUGGACGAUGACUGACGCUGAGACGCGAAAGCGUGGGGAGCAAACAGGAUUAGAAACCCCAGUAGUCC
rnacentral:rRNA from 1 species